rnacentral:sRNA from 1 species
GCUGGGUGCGGUGGCGCACACCUAUAAUCCCAGCGGUUUGGGAGGCUGAGACAGGAGAAUUGUGAGUUCAAAGCCAGCGUCAGCAAUUGCAAGGCACUAAGCAACUCAGUGAGACCCUGUCUCUA